AGCGAACGUUUGCGGCGGGCCUAACACAUGCAAGUCGAACGCACUAGCAAUAGUGAGUGGCGCACGGGUGCGUAACACGUGGGUAAUCAACCCUUCAGCCUGGGAUAACGACUCGAAAGGGUCGCUAAUACCGGAUACGGCGCGAGAGGCUUCGGCUUCUCACGAGAAAGCCACGCAAGGGGGCACUGAAGGACGAGCCUGCGGCCCAUCAGCUAGUUGGUGAGGUAAGAGCUCACCAAGGCUAAGACGGGUAGCUGGUCUGAGAGGAUGAUCAGCCACACUGGAACUGAGACACGGUCCAGACUCCUACGGGAGGCAGCAGUGGGGAAUAUUGCGCAAUGGGCGAAAGCCUGACGCAGCCACGCCGCGUGAGCGAUGAAGGCCUUGGUCGUAAGACUCUGUGGGAGAGACGAAGAAAGACCUGUGAAGAGCAGGCCUUGACGGUAGU
rnacentral:rRNA from 1 species